rnacentral:snRNA from 1 species
UAACUUACUGGACAGAGUCUAUUGGUAAUCAAGAAGUUCGAUGGUCUAAGGAGGCUGCCCACAUUGCACUUGGACGAUGGAUCUCCUUAGCAUUUCUCUGAGUGGGGGAUGUGCAUGUCAUAACUUGUGGUAGGGAAUUUAUGUUUACCUGGCCCCUGC